CCUACGGGAGGCAGCAGUGGGGGAUAUUGCACAAUGGGGGAAACCCUGAUGCAGCGACGCCGCGUGGGUGAAGAAGCGCCUCGGCGCGUAAAGCCCUGUCAGCAGGGAAGAAAAUGAUGGUACCUGAAGAAGAAGCCCCGGCUAACUACGUGCCAGCAGCCGCGGUAAUACGUAGGGGGCAAGCGUGAUCCGGAUUUACUGGGUGUAAAGGGGGCGCAGACGGCGAUGCAAGCCAGGAGUGAAAGCCCGGGGCCCAACCCCGGGACUGCUCUUGGAACUGCGUGGCUAGAGUGCAGGAGGGGCAGGCGGAAUUCCUGGUGUAGCGGUGAAAUGCGUAGAUAUCAGGAGGAACACCGGUGGCGAAGGCGGCCUGCUGGACUGCAACUGACGUUGAGGCCCGAAAGCGUGGGGAGCAAACAGGAUUAGAUACCCCAGUAGUC
rnacentral:rRNA from 1 species